rnacentral:rRNA from 1 species
CAGUAGCCGCGGGAAUACGGAGGGUGCAAGCGUUAUCCGGAUUUAUUGGGUUUAAAGGGUCCGUAGGCGGACUUAUAAGUCAGUGGUGAAAGCCUGUCGCUUAACGAUAGAACUGCCAUUGAUACUGUAAGUCUUGAGUAUAUUUGAGGUAGCUGGAAUAAGUAGUGUAGCGGUGAAAUGCAUAGAUAUUACUUAGAACACAAAUUGCGAAGGCAGGUUACCAAGAUAUAACUGACGCUGAGGGACGAAAGCGUGGGUAGCGAACAGGAUUAGAUACCCCCGUAGUCCCUGUCUCUUAUAC